UUCAAAUGCACGUGACAGGGUCCCUGGCUGCAACCCAGGUUGGAGAAUCCGGGAUUAGAAGGCUGAGGACUUGGGACAACAAAACCCAGAGGCUGAGCGAGCUGGCUCUGACCCACCAGAUGUGCCGGGCCCUGAGCUGGACCCUGGUGUCCAGAAGUGGACACAGC
rnacentral:lncRNA from 1 species